rnacentral:tRNA from 1 species
GGCGAGCAGGCAAUAGGAGGGAGAGCAUUCGCCUGAAGAGCGAAGGGUCGGCGGUCCGAGCCCGCCCCUCGACA